rnacentral:lncRNA from 1 species
GUCCGGCCUGCAACCCAGGUUUAAAAUGUGGUCCGGGAGAACUGGAGUAGCCAGGACCGGAUCGAAAGAGGAGGCUGAGGUGCUUCCUUGCUGAGAGCACGGGGAGAUCCACUAAGGGGUCUCUUAGAAGUCCCUUCUCUUCCGAGCUGUCCAGCUAUCCCACAUCCACCUCUGGCCUCUGCUAUGCUUGGGAACAAAG